GACGAACCGUGCAAACGUUGUUCGGAUUCACUGGGCUUAAAGGGCGCGUAGGCGGGCCAUCAAGUCAGGGGUGAAAUCUUUCGGCUCAACCGGAAAAGUGCCUUUGAUACUGGUGGUCUCGAGGGAGGUAGGGGCAUGCGGAACUUCCGGUGGAGCGGUGAAAUGCGUAGAUAUCGGAAGGAACGCCGGUGGCGAAAGCGGCGUGCUGGACCUCUUCUGACGCUGAGGCGCGAAAGCUAGGGGAGCAAACGG
rnacentral:rRNA from 1 species